GGAUUUGGCUUAGUGAUAGAGUGCUUGCCUAGCAUGCAAAAGGCCCUGAGUUUAAUCCCCAGUACCA
rnacentral:tRNA from 1 species